UUUACAAUAGUUUAUACCUAGCCAUAUACACAAAUAAAAUUUAAAUUACCUGUACAAAGAUAAGAUAUUAUCACUAGAAAAAUUAAUAGAUAUACGUGACAAUCGUUUUUCAUCUAGAUAAAGAUAGACUAUCAGCAAUUUUUUGAUCACGAAGAUCAUUUUUUUCCAUAAAAACUGAAUGCUAGGAUUAUUCCGAAUAUGAACACAUCUAGAUUUUAAAAACGUCACG